ACGAACGCUGGCGGCGUGCUUAACACAUGCAAGUCGAACGGAAAGGCCCCUUUGGGGGUACUCGAGUGGCGAACGGGUGAGUAACACGUGAGUAACCUGCCCUUGACUUCGGGCUAACUUCAGGAAACUGGGGCUAAUACCGGAUAGGAAUCCUUGCUGCAUGGUGGGGGUUGGAAAGCUUCGGCGGUUUUGGAUGGGCUCGCGGCUUAUCAGCUUGUUGGUGGGGUAGUGGCUUACCAAGGCUUUGACGGGUAGCCGGCCUGAGAGGGCGACCGGCCACAUUGGGACUGAGAUACGGCCCAGACUCCUACGGGAGGCAGCAGUGGGGAAUAUUGCACAAGGGGCGGAAGCCUGAUGCAGCAACGCCGCGGGCGGGAUGACGGCCUUCGGGUUGUAAACCGCUUUCAGCAGGGGCGAAGCUUGUGGUGACGGUACCUGCAGAAGAAGCACCGGCUAACUACGUG
rnacentral:rRNA from 1 species